GGUGGAUGCCUUGGCGAUUACAGGCGAUGAAGGACGUGGUAGCCUGCGAAAAGCUACGGGGAGCUGGCAAACGAGCUUUGAUCCGUAGAUGUCCGAAUGGGGAAACCCGGCGCGCAAGCGUCACUCCCACCUGAAUAUAUAGGGUGGGUAGAGCGAACGCAGCGAACUGAAACAUCUAAGUAGCUGCAGGAAAAGAAAUCAACCGAGAUUCCCAAAGUAGUGGCGAGCGAAAUGGGAAGAGCCUGUAUGUGAUAGUCAACUGGUUAGUGGAACGGAAUGGAAAGUCCGGCGAUAGAGGGUGAUAGCCCCGUACACGAAAACUGGUUGGUGGUACUGAGCAUACGACAAGUAGGGCGGGGCACGAGAAACCCUGUCUGAACAUGGGGGGACCAUCCUCCAAGGCUAAAUACUCGUAAUCGACCGAUAGUGAACCAGUACCGUGAGGGAAAGGCGAAAAAGAACCCCGGGAGGGGAGUGAAAUAGAACCUGAAACCGUGUGCAUACAAACAGUGGGAGCCCCGUUCGUGGGGU
rnacentral:rRNA from 1 species